ACAGGAACUGGAUAUUAUGGGAUUAACUGCUCAGUGUCUCUACCUUCAUCAGUUACAUCUCCUACACCAACUGUUUCACCUUCAGUUGUUUUAAUAAAUACAGUAACACCUAGUCUUUUUCCUUCGUCCUCUUCGGAUGUUACAACAGCACCAGUUACAUUAAUAAUAGUAAUAAUAGCAAUAGUGAUUGGUCUCCUGCUGCUACUAAUAAUAGGAGGACUCGUUGGCUUUGCUGUUUAUUCUUAUGCUACAAAAGGGAAAAGGAAAACUUUCCCUCUCACAGAAAAAAUAGGAUGGAGAAAGAAGCCAGAAAUAGUUUGAAAAGACGUUUCAGCUAAUUAAAUGUUGCUAAAUCAAUUGGAGUAUAAUAUUUAAUUGUGCUAACAACAAAAGUGAUGAAAUGAUUAAUGAAAAGUGAUGUAAUGGCAAUAAUAA